UACGGAGGGUGCGAGCGUUAAUCGGAAUCACUGGGCGUAAAGGGCGCGUAGGCGGUUAGUUACGUCUGCCGUGAAAUCCCCGGGCUCAACCUGGGAAUGGCGGUGGAAACGGGCUGACUAGAGUAUGGGAGAGGGUGAUGGAAUUCCAGGUGUAGCGGUGAAAUGCGUAGAGAUCUGGAGGAACACCAGUGGCGAAGGCGGUCACCUGGCCCAAUACUGACGCUGAGGCGCGAAAGCGUGGGGAGCAAACAGG
rnacentral:rRNA from 1 species